rnacentral:rRNA from 1 species
GAUGAACGCUGGCGGCGUGCCUAAUACAUGCAAGUCGAGCGAACAGACGAGGAGCUUGCUCCUCUGACGUUAGCGGCGGACGGGUGAGUAACACGUGGAUAACCUACCUAUAAGACUGGGAUAACUUCGGGAAACCGGAGCUAAUACCGGAUAAUAUAUUGAACCGCAUGGUUCAAUAGUGAAAGACGGUUUUGCUGUCACUUAUAGAUGGAUCCGCGCCACAUUAGCUAGUUGGUAAGGUAACGGCUUACCAAGGCAACGAUGCGUAGCCGACCUGAGAGGGUGAACGGCCCACCCGGAACGUGAGAACGGGCCAAGACACUAAGGGGGGGAGCAGGCGGGGACUCUUCGGAAUGGGCGAAAGCUUGACGGAGCAACGCCGCGUGAGUGAUGAAGGUCUUCGGAUCGUAAAACUCUGUUAUUAGGGAAGAACAAAUGUGUAAGUAACUACGCACGUCUUGACGGUACCUAAUCAGAAAGCCACGGCUAACUACGUG